rnacentral:rRNA from 1 species
AGCGAACGCUGGCGGCAGGCCUAACACAUGCAAGUCGAACGAACUCUUCGGAGUUAGUGGCGGACGGGUGAGUAACACGUGGGAACGUGCCUUUUGGUUCGGAAUAACUCAGGGAAACUUGUGCUAAUACCGAAUGUGCCCUUCGGGGGAAAGAUUUAUCGCCAUUAGAGCGGCCCGCGUCUGAUUAGCUAGUUGGUGAGGUAACGGCUCACCAAGGCGACGAUCAGUAGCUGGUCUGAGUGGAUGACCAGCCACACUGGGACUGAGACACGGCCCAGACUCCUACGGGAAGCAGCAGUGGGGAAUCUUGCGCAAUGGGCGAAAGCCUGACGCAGCCAUGCCGCGUGAAUGAUGAAGGUCUUAGGAUUGUAAAAUUCUUUCACCGGGGACGAUAAUGACGGUACCCGGAGAAGAAGCCCCGGCUAACUUCGUG